rnacentral:rRNA from 1 species
GACAGAGGGUGCAAACGUUGUUCGGAAUUACUGGGCGUAAAGCGCACGUAGGCGGUCUUGUAAGUCGGGUGUGAAAACCCAGGGCUCAACCCUGGCAGUGCACACGAUACUGCGAGACUGGGGUACUGAAGAGGAGAGCGGAAUUCUCGGUGUAGAGGUGAAAUUCGUAGAUAUCGGGAGGAACACCAGUGGCGAAGGCGGCUCUCUGGGCAGAUACCGACGCUGAGAUGCGAAAGCGUGGGAAGCAAACAGG